rnacentral:rRNA from 1 species
GCAGGGGAAAGGGGCUAACCGAAGGGAGAGCUUGCUCCUUGGGUGGCGAGUGGCGGACGGGUGAGGAAUACAUCGGAAUCUACUCUGUCGUGGGGGAUAACGUAGGGAAACUUACGCUAAUACCGCAUACGACCUACGGGUGAAAGCAGGGGAUCUUCGGACCUUGCGCGAUUGAAUGAGCCGAUGUCGGAUUAGCUAGUUGGCGGGGUAAAGGCCCACCAAGGCGACGAUCCGUAGCUGGUCUGAGAGGAUGAUCAGCCACACUGGAACUGAGACACGGUCCAGACUCCUACGGGAGGCAGCAGUGGGGAAUAUUGGACAAUGGGCGCAAGCCUGAUCCAGCCAUACCGCGUGGGUGAAGAAGGCCUUCGGGUUGUAAAGCCCUUUUGUUGGGAAAGAAAUCCAGCUGGCUAAUACCCGGUUGGGAUGACGGUACCCAAAGAAUAAGCACCGGCUAACUUCGUGCCAGCAGCCGCGGUAAUACGAAGGGUGCAAGCGUUACUCGGAAUUACUGGGCGUAAAGCGUGCGUAGGUGGUCGUUUAAGUCCGUGUGAAAGCCCUGGGCUCACCUGGGAACUGCAGUGGGAUACUGACGACUAGGAGU